rnacentral:rRNA from 1 species
UACAGAGGGUGCAAGCGUUAAUCGGAAUUACUGGGCGUAAAGCGCGCGUAGGUGGUUUGUUAAGUUGGAUGUGAAAGCCCCGGGCUCAACCUGGGAACUGCAUCCAAAACUGGGCGACUAGAGUACAGUAGAGGGUGGUGGAAUUUCCUGUGUAGCGGUGAAAUGCGUAGAUAUAGGAAGGAACACCAGUGGCGAAGGCGACCACCUGGACUGAUACUGACACUGAGGUGCGAAAGCGUGGGGAGCAAACAGGAUUAGAAACCCCGGUAGU